UACGUAGGGGGCUAGCGUUGUCCGGAAUCAUUGGGCGUAAAGAGCGUGUAGGCGGCCCGGUAAGUCCGCUGUGAAAGUCGGGGGCUCAACCCUCGAAUGCCGGUGGAUACUGUCGGGCUAGAGUGCGGAAGAGGCGAGUGGAAUUCCUGGUGUAGCGGUGAAAUGCGCAGAUAUCAGGAGGAACACCAGUGGCGAAGGCGGGUCUCUGGACAGUUCCUGACACUGAGACACGAAGGCCAGGGGAGCAAACGGG
rnacentral:rRNA from 1 species